AAUCAACGCUGGCGGCGUGCCUCAGACAUGCAAGUCGAACGCGAAAGCUCCCUUCGGGGAGCAAGUAGAGUGGCGCACGGGUGAGUAACACGUAGGUAAUCUACCUUUGGAUGGGGAAUAACAACCGGAAACGGUUGCUAAUACCGCAUAAUGCAGCGGCACCUAAUGGUGACAGUUGUUAAAGCGGGGGAUCGCAAGACCUCGUGUCUGAAGAGGAGCCUGCGGCGGAUUAGCUAGUUGGUAGGGUAACGGCUUACCAAGGCGAUGAUCCGUAGCCGGCCUGAGAGGGCGGUCGGCCACACUGACACUGACAUACGGGUCAGACUCCUACGGGAGGCAGCAGUCGGGAAUUUUGGGCAAUGGGCGAAAGCCUGACCCAGCAACGCCGCGUGAAGGAUGAAAUCCCUCGGGAUGUAAACUUCGCAAGAACGGGAAGAAUAAGCCGGUGUCAACACCACCGGCGAUGACGGUACUGUUUGUAAGCUCCGGCUAACUCCGUGCCAGCAGCCG
rnacentral:rRNA from 1 species